rnacentral:rRNA from 1 species
GCGAUAGCGAAGAGGUCACACCCGUUCCCAUACCGAACACGGAAGUUAAGCUCUUCAGCGCCGAUGGUAGUUGGGACUUUGUCCCUGUGAGAGUAGGACGUCGCUAGGC